CGCGUAGGCUGUCCUGUAAGCGGUGUGUGAAAGCCCGGGGCUCAACCCCGGAACUGCAUACCGAACUGCAGGGCUAGAGGACGAGAGGGGAGUAUGGAACUCUAGGUGGAGCGGUGAAAUGCGUAGAUAUCUAGAGGAACGCCGGUGGCGAAAGCGAUACUCUGGCUCGUCCCUGAUGCUGAGGCGCGAAAGCGUGGGUAGCAAACAGGAUUAGAUACCCUGGUAGUCC
rnacentral:rRNA from 1 species